rnacentral:lncRNA from 1 species
GGAAGAAACAGCCCCUCGGGCCCCAGCUCUGUCGUCUAGAAGGAGACUGCGGCAGAGUUCCUGUGUUAGGCCAAGAAUCAGGCAAGAAUUUUGCUCCCUGGAUUGUAUGAAAUUAGAAAGUGUCAUGUCAGACGACUGCCUAACCCAAAGGAAAAAAUGUCAGGGUUCAGGACUCUUCUGGGAGGUGAGUCCCUGUGCCGCUCCAUUCUCUGGAUAGGUGAGAAGGAAAAGCCAGUCUGUGGGUGUGGAUAAAAGACUCUGAAUAAAUAAAUAUCUCCCUGUAUCUCAGGCCAAUAGGGAGUCUCAAAGGACCAGGAAGAAGUUGGCCAUCAAGGUCUGAGGAGGGGUGGCAGGCAGGUCACCCCCAGCAUUCUGUGUGCCCACCUGCCUCCUGAACUCAGGACCAUCUUCCAGACCUCCUCUGUCCCAGAGCUCCAGGAGACCGAAACUUGCUGCAUGGAUGCAGCAAAAGAUGAUGCCUUCCUCCUAACUAGGAAGGGUGGGUGGCCAGCUCUCCGCCAUGUGGAGUGAGUUACUGCUGGAUAAUAAACUGGUGAGUGCUUCAUAAAGAGACGCUGAAUAAAUAGGCUGUGCUUUAAAAGC